UAGGGGUGGACAGGAACCGAUGGCCCAACCCAACCCAGGAGUAACCGAAAGAAAAGAUGUAAAUGGGCGGACCCAAACGGUCCAACGGGCCCAACGGGCGAAAAUUGUGGGUUCAAUUGGUUUUAAAUGGGCGGUCCGGGUAGAAAUGACUGGACCGCGGGUACCCUGACCCACCCGAAGCCCAUUUUCCAAAAGAUGUUGUUUUCAUAACUCAGCUCUCAUUUCCCUGUUCCCU
rnacentral:lncRNA from 1 species